GAUACAAGACUAAGUAUACAUGUGCAUGGAUCCUCGUAUAUAAUAAGUCAAUAGCUAAGAUUAUUUUAGUUUUCCAUUCAAAUUUUUUUAUAAAUAUACAGGUGUUACAUUGCUUAAUUUGCACCCAAGAGGAGGUACCAUGAUUCACUAGGACGUAAUGAGGGACAUCAGAGAGAGAAAUUGGGUGAAGUCAGAUAUUUGAAAUAGAAUAUCUA
rnacentral:lncRNA from 1 species